rnacentral:rRNA from 1 species
CUUAAAUUGAAGAGUUUGAUCAUGGCUCAGAUUGAACGCUGGCGGCAGGCCUAACACAUGCAAGUCGAGCGGAAACGAGUUAUCUGAACCUUCGGGGAACGAUAACGGCGUCGAGCGGCGGACGGGUGAGUAAUGCCUAGGAAAUUGCCCUGA